AAGCAGUCUUGACUCUGUCUUGGCACGGUGAAGUUGUUGUAACCUGCUAGCAGGGCGGGCAACUCGAGCAGUGAAGAUACUUUGCUACUGUAUGCGAGGCACGU